GGACUCAUACGAGACUGCCGGGGUCAACUCGGAGGAAGGUGGGGAUGACGUCAAGUCAUCAUGCCCCUUAUGUCUAGGGCUGCACGCAUGCUACAAUGGCUGGUACAAAGGGCUGCAAUACCGCGAGGUGGAGCGAAUCCCAAAAAGCCAGUCUCAGUUCGGAUUGGGGUCUGCAACUCGACCCCAUGAAGUCGGAGUCGCUAGUAAUCGCAGAUCAGCAACGCUGCGGUGAAUACGUUCCCGGGCCUUGUACACACCGCCCGU
rnacentral:rRNA from 1 species